UGGGUAACCUGCCCUUCACUCUGGGAUAACUCCGGGAAACCGGGGCUAAUACUGGAUAUGACUCGAACAGGCAUCUGUUUCGGGUGGAAAGAUUUAUUGGUGGAGGAUGGACUCGCGGCCUAUCAGCUUGUUGGUGAGGUAAUGGCUCACCAAGGCGACGACGGGUAGCCGGCCUGAGAGGGCGAUCGGCCACACUGGGACUGAGACACGGCCCAGACUCCUACGGGAGCA
rnacentral:rRNA from 1 species